CACGUAGGGUGCGAGCGUUGUCCGGAAUUAUUGGGCGUAAAGAGCUCGUAGGCGGUGUGUCGCGUCGGCCGUGAAAACCUGCAGCUUAACUGUGGGCUUGCGGUCGAUACGGGCAUCACUGGAGUUCGGCAGGGGAGACUGGAAUUCCUGGUGUAGCGGUGAAAUGCGCAGAUAUCAGGAGGAACACCGGUGGCGACGGCGGGUCUCUGGGCCGAUCCUGACGCUGAGGAGCGAAAGCGUGGGGAGCGAACAGG
rnacentral:rRNA from 1 species